rnacentral:misc_RNA from 1 species
UCUCUCUCACCCAACUUGGAGCCCUAGUUUAUGUGUUCUGAACUCCGAACUCCAUCAACAACGCAGAGGAUCGAACAAGGCGAAGCAAAGCACAAUUCAGUAGAAAGCUAUCUUCACUGAGAGUUACAGAAGCCCUAGCCAUGCCGGACUAUGAAGCCAAUGGAGAAGACAUAGACAAUUCCGGCUCUUCUCCCCUUCCCAAAUCCAGAAGUAGCCAUGGCGGCACUAAUCCCGAUAAUUUCACCGACUCCAAGCCUCAGCAUAGUUCUCGUGAAUAUGAAAAAGAUAAGAGCUCGUCAAGAAGCAGGGAAAAGGAUAGGGAGAAAGGGCGUGAUAGGGACCGUGACAGGGGCAGGGAAAGAGACAAAGACAGGGACAGAGAGAGGGACAAGGACCGUGAUCGUCAUCACAGAGAUCGUCAUAGGGAUCGGAGUGACAGAAGGGAGAGGGAGAGGACCAGAGAUAGAGAUGAUGAUGAACGUCAUCGAACUCGAGAUUAUGACAAGCAAAGAGAUCAUGACAAAGAUAGAGAGAGUCGGCAUAGACACAGGUCUCGUUCAAGGGGUAGAUCUGAGCAUAAAUCAAGGUCUCGAUCUCGUUCUCGAUCCAAGAGCAAAAGGAUUAGUGGUUUUGAUAUGGCACCUCCUACCACUGCAAUGUUACCUGGUGCUACAGCUGCUGCAGGUCAAGUGCCCGGGACCAGCCCAGGAAUUCCUGGAAUGUUGCCCAACAUGUUUCCUUUAACAUCGGGCCCGUUUGGAGCUCUUCCUGUUAUGCCGAUCCAGGCAAUGACACAACAGGCUACAAGGCAUGCCCGGCGAGUUUAUGUCGGUGGACUUCCUGCUACUUCAAAUGAACAGUCUGUUGCGACCUUCUUUAGUCAUGUUAUGUCUGCAAUUGGAGGAAAUACAGCUGGUCCAGGUGAUGCUGUUGUCAAUGUCUAUAUAAACUAUGAGAAGAAGUUUGCUUUUGUUGAAAUGAGAUCUGUAGAGGAAGCUAGUAAUGCCAUGGCAUUGGAUGGCAUCAUAUUUGAGGGUGCACCUUGUAAGGUCAGAAGACCCAGUGAUUACAACCCUUCUCUGGCUGCUACUCUUGGUCCUAGCCAACCAAACCCAAACCUCAACCUGGCAGCUGUUGGAUUGUCACCAGGUUCUGCAGGAGGGCUUGAAGGCCCUGAUCGUAUUUUUGUUGGUGGUUUGCCCUACUAUUUCACAGAAGCACAGAUUAGGGAGCUGUUAGAGUCUUUUGGUGCACUUAGAGGAUUCGAUUUGGUCAAAGAUAGAGAAACAGGGAACUCAAAAGGCUAUGCCUUUUGUGUCUAUCAGGAUGUUUCCGUUACUGAUAUUGCUUGUGCAGCUCUCAAUGGGAUUAAGAUGGGUGAUAAAACCCUUACUGUUAGGCGUGCUAACCAGGGUACAACACAACCUAAGCCUGAGCAAGAGAGUGUAUUGUUGCAUGCACAACAGCAGAUAGCUUUGCAGAGACUUAUGUUACAACCUGGUGCAUUAGCCACAAAGGUUUUGUGUUUAACACAAGUUGUUGAGGUAGAUGAGCUCAGUAAUGACGAGGACUAUCAAGAUAUUUUAGAAGACAUGAGAACUGAAUGUGGAAAAUUUGGUCCACUGGUGAAUGUAGUAAUUCCACGUCCAAGUCCUGAUGGUGAGCAUGCACCAGGGGUUGGAAAGGUAUUUUUGGAGUAUGGAGAUGGGGAGAGUGCCAGCAAAGCUCGGCAAAGUUUGAAUGGAAGAAAAUUUGGUGGCAACCAAGUUAUAGCUGUCUUCUAUCCAGAAAACAAGUUCUAUGAAGGGGACUAUGAUGGUUAGUUGUAUCGUAUCCUCUUUGAGUUGUCAGAAGUGCUCAGCAAGUCUUGUGUUCUUUUAUGGCUUAUAGGAAUCACCGCGUUGGACUAGUGCUAGAUGUAAAACUCGUUUCUGCUUUCCUUUUCGGAGCAUUGUUUGUUUUAUUCUGAAUUAUAUCCACCUAUUUAGGUUUGAUUUUUGUGUUGCUGGUGGUAGAUAGUUUUUGAUAGCCUUAAAUAUGAAGACUUUGGGGUGCUUGUCAACAGUGUG